GGAGGCCCGCUGCGCCUGGCGGUUUGAAGCAAACAGGCAGCGCGCGACAAUGGCGGCAGCUGGUGCAGUUUUGGGGCCAUUGGUGACGGGUCUGUACGACGUGCAGGCUUUCAAGUUUGGGGACUUCGUGCUCAAGAGCGGACUCUCCUCCCCCAUCUACAUCGAUCUUCGGGGCAUCGUGUCUCGACCGCGUCUUCUGAGUCAGGUUGCGGAUGUUUUAUUCCAAACUGCCCAAAAUGCAGGAAUCAGUUUUGACACCGUGUGUGGAGUGCCUUAUACAGCUUUGCCAUUGGCUACAGUUAUCUGUUCAACCAAUCAAAUUCCAAUGCUUAUUAGAAGGAAAGAAACAAAGGAUUAUGGAACUAAGCGUCUUGUAGAAGGAACUAUUAAUCCAGGAGAAACCUGUUUAAUCAUUGAAGAUGUUGUCACCAGUGGAUCUAGUGUUUUGGAAACUGUUGAGGUUCUUCAGAAGGAGGGCCUGAAGGUCACUGAUGCCAUAGUGCUGUUGGACAGAGAGCAGGGAGGCAAGGACAAGUUGCAGGCGCACGGGAUCCGCCUCCACUCAGUGUGUACGUUGUCCAAAAUGCUGGAGAUUCUCGAACAGCAGAAAAAAAUUGAUGCUGAGACGGUUGGGAGAGUGAAGAGAUUUAUUCAGGAGAAUGUCUUUGUGGCAGCGAAUCAUAAUGGGUCUCCCCUUUCUAUAAAGGAAGCACCCAGAGAACUCAGCUUCAGUGCACGUGCAGAGCUGCCCAGGAUCCACCCAGUUGCAUCGAAGCUUCUCAGGCUUAUGCAAAAGAAGGAGACCAAUCUGUGUCUAUCUGCUGAUGUUUCAGAGGCCAGAGAGCUGUUGCAGCUAGCAGAUGCUUUAGGACCCAGUAUCUGUAUGCUCAAGACUCAUGUAGAUAUUUUGAAUGAUUUUACUCUGGAUGUGAUGAAGGAGUUGAUAACUCUGGCAAAAUGCCAUGAGUUCUUGAUAUUUGAAGACCGGAAGUUUGCAGAUAUAGGAAACACAGUGAAAAAGCAGUAUGAAGGAGGUAUCUUUAAAAUAGCUUCCUGGGCAGAUCUGGUAAAUGCCCACGUGGUGCCAGGCUCAGGAGUUGUGAAAGGCCUGCAAGAAGUGGGCCUGCCUUUGCAUCGGGGGUGCCUCCUUAUUGCGGAAAUGAGCUCCACCGGCUCCCUGGCCACUGGGAACUACACUAGAGCAGCGGUUAGAAUGGCUGAGGAGCACUCUGAAUUUGUUGUUGGUUUUAUUUCUGGCUCCCGAGUAAGCAUGAAACCAGAAUUUCUUCACUUGACUCCAGGAGUUCAGUUGGAAGCAGGAGCUCCCUGGAUCCAGCCUGGUUACCGGGAAGACAAAAACUGGGCUCCACCAAGAACCAGUCUUCUGCCAUCACCUCUGGCUGUAUCAGUGAUCUCUCCCAGCGAAAUAGCCGCUUGGUCUUGUGUGAAUCCUGUACUUGAACAUAGUGGACCGAGUGUCAGUCAUUGAAAAUGACCAUGAGUAACCCUCUGGACUCUGCAGCUUGGUUCCUUUGCCCCUUAACAGCUCCAUGUCUGCACCCCUGGAGGGUCUGAAGGCCUGAAUAGGAGCUGGGUCCUGACUAUGAAGCCUGGAGCCCUGGGGGAGAACAGGAUGCCAGGUGGGAGAAACCUAACUAGGCCUUCUCAGCUGGGGGACCUCCAGAGGAGCCCCAAUGCCGAGUCGCAGCCAGGAGAAAGGCCACAGCUGAGUGCUCACAGCCUCCAUGCAGGCAGUGACCCAGCUCCAGGCAUGUUCACAUGCCAUGCCCUGUCUGCAUUUCCAGUGCCCACUGGACAAACCCCCAGCUUCCUCGGGCACCUCACACCCCACAGGCGCAACACCUCCUCCGGAGCCUCAUCCCAGCGCUGUCACUGUCGGCCUUUGUGUCUUUUAAUUCCCCUCACCUCCUCUCUGCCAGUCUCAAAGCUUGUUACUAGCUGUAUUAGUCUGCUCAGGCUGCCAUAACAAAAUAUCACAGACUGGGUGGUUUCAACAACUGUUACUUUCUCAUAGUUUUGGAGGCUGUGGAAGUUCAAGAUCAUGUGUCAGCAGAAAUGGUUUCCCCUAAGGCCUCUCCUUUUGGCUUGCAGGCAGCCACCUUCUCACUGUGUCUUCACACAGCCUUUCCUCUCUGCAGCCCUGGGGUCUCUACCUGGUCUUAUAAAGACACCAGCUGCAUUGAGUUAGGGUACCACCCUAUGACCUCAUUUAAUCGCAAUUCAUUCUUUAAAGACUCCAUCAUCUCCAAAUACUAUCACAUUGGGGCUUUAGGGCUUACAACAAAUGAAUUUUUGCAGGGACACAAUCCAUUCCAUAACAGUAGCUGAGUAUACAAGGCUGUCCUCAGCAGCAAGUAGGAACCAUGGUAUUGGAUGUCCUCCGGGGAGGGGGAGGAGCUAAAGGACAUACUCCAGCAGAGAAGGACCUUCUGUCCACCCUGACAUUUUUUCCCCAUCUGGUUGCUCUUACCUGAAAUUCAUCCCAAGAGUUUUUCAUGGUAAUCACCUCAAGCUUUGAUCCUAAUUAAACAAAUUUAAAAAUCACAUUUCUUCCCUGGAAGAGGUAGCUAUUGGCCACUUUAGUUUCAUAAAGUACUAGUCAAUCAAGCUGUAUGAGAAUUCCCUUUUUUUUUUCUUUUUUGUAGAGCCAGGGUCUCAUUGUGUUGCCCAGGCUGGUCUCGAACUCCUGGGCUUAGGCAAUCCUCCCACCUUGCUCUCCCAAAGUGUUGAGAUUACAGUCUUGAGACACCGUGCCCGACCAAAGGCCCAUUUUGAUAAAAGUAUCUUAAAAUUACAAAAUGACCUAUCUGGGGGUGGGUUGUGAAAUGAAGCGUUUGGAAUAGAUUAUCUUUGUGGUCACUGGCAGCUCGCUGGAUAACCUUCACAUCAUACAUUGGGUCGGAAUCUCAGGAGUCAGAUCUCCAAACAGCUCAUUCCAAGAGCUUCCAGCAGAGGGCAGCAAGGCACCGUGAGCGCGGGUUCCGUAACAUCCCUCCGCGUCAGACUGAAGACCUCCAGCUUCCACGUCAGGUGGAACUAGAACACAUCUUCCUUUGCUAUCUGUGACUCAAGAAUGUUGUGCCCAGGCCAGGUGCGGUGGCUCACGUCUGUAAUCCCAACAUUUUGGGAGGCCAAGGUGGGAGGAUCGCUUGAGCUUGGGAGUUCUAGACCAACCAGC